ACAGGGGGAUAACACUUAGAAAUAGGUGCUAAUACCGCAUAAGCGCACGGUUCCGCAUGGAACAGUGUGAAAAACUCCGGUGGUAUACGAUGGAUCCGCGUCUGAUUAGCCAGUUGGCGGGGUAACGGCCCACCAAAGCGACGAUCAGUAGCCGGCCUGAGAGGGUGAACGGCCACAUUGGGACUGAGACACGGCCCAAACUCCUACGGGAGGCAGCAGUGGGGAAUAUUGCACAAUGGGGGAAACCCUGAUGCAGCGACGCCGCGUGAGUGAAGAAGUAUUUCGGUACGUAAAGCUCUAUCAGCAGGGAAGAAAAAGAGUCCUUUGGACUUUGGACGGUACCUGACCAAGAAGCCCCGGCUAACUACGUGCCAGCAGCCGCGGUAAUACGUAGGGGGCAAGCGUUAUCCGGAUUUACUGGGUGUAAAGGGAGCGUAGACGGCAGCGCAAGUCUGGAGUGAAAUGCCGGGGCCCAACCCCGGAACUGCUUUGGAAACUGUGCAGCUGGAGUGCAGGAGAGGUAAGCGGAAUUCCUAGUGUAGCGGUGAAAUGCGUAGAUAUUAGGAGGAACACCAGUGGCGAAGGCGGCUUACUGGACUGUAACUGACGUUGAGGCUCGAAAGCGUGGGGAGCAAACAGGAUUAGAUACCCUGGUAGUCCACGCCGUAAACGAUGAUUACUAGGUGUCGGGGGGCCAAGGCCCUUCGGUGCCGCCGCAA
rnacentral:rRNA from 1 species